rnacentral:tRNA from 1 species
GCCUGGCUGGCUCAGUUGGUAGAGCAUGUGACUCUUGAUCUUGGGGUCAUGAGUUCAAGCCCCAAGUUGGGCG